CUUCCAGUAGCACCUUAGAGACCAACUAAGAUUGUUAUUGGUACGAGCUUCUGUGUGCAUGCACACUUCUUCAGAUACUCAGCUCAUACCAAUAACAAACUUAGCUGGUCUCUAAGGUGCUACUGGAAG